UUUUUCUAACCCUAAGAGUAUCGUAUCUUAUCUCCCGCCGCUCUUCCUCCUGCUCUCCCUUCUUUCCCCUUUGCUCUCCUUGCCCUAUCCGUAUACCUCCAUUACUCCCUUUCCUCCUUCCCUUUACUCUACAACAUCAUUCCCAUUUGCAGAGACAGCGCCGCCCCUCCUCUCCCUUGCCUUUUCUUUUCUUUUUUUUUUUUAAUUUCUGGACCUAAUAUCUGCUUAGCCUCCAUCAUUUUCAUUAGCAAUAGGUUAAUUUCUGCUUUCUUCUGCCAACUCCAUUCAGUUACUCCCUUUCCUCCUUCCCUUUACUUUACAUUCUCUCCCGCCGCUCUUCCUCCUGCUCUCCCUUCUUUCCCCUUUGCUCUCCUUGCCCUAUCCGUAUACCUCCAUUACUCCCUUUCCUCCUUCCCUUUACUCUACAACAUCAUUCCCAUUUGCAGAGACAGCGCCGCCCCUCCUCUCCCUUGCCUUUUCUUUUCUUUUUUUUUUUUAAUUUCUGGACCUAAUAUCUGCUUAGCCUCCAUCAUUUUCAUUAGCAAUAGGUUAAUUUCUGCUUUCUUCUGCCAACUCCAUUCAGUUACUCCCUUUCCUCCUUCCCUUUACUUUACAGCAUCAUUCCCAUUUGCAGAGACAGCGCCGCCCCUCCUCUCCUCUGCCUUUUCUUUUUUUUUUUUAAUUUCUGGACCUAAUUUCUGCUUAGUCUCCAUCAUUUUCAUUAGCAAUAGGUUAAUUUCAGCUUUCUUCUGCCAACUCCAUUCAGUUGAACCCGUUUUCUUUUUAAAGCUUGGUGAUUUUCCUCUUUUCCUUUGAUUUUGCUUUUCUCGUUGGCUUGUGAAGGCCACCAAAUUUCUCAUUCUCUCUUAAAUGUGGUCUCAAACAAGCUUUUCCAUUCCAAAUGUGGGCGGCUCCGCAGAAACCUAAUCCACAGUAAGCUCUUAAACCUUCGGCCGCCGCAGCUUUCUUCUUCUUCUUUUUCUUCCCCGUGCUGCGCUGUUUCGGUACAUUUGGUUCUUGCAAGGAAACAAAUAAAGCACAUGUGCCAUGAGGUAAGAACCAAGAAUAUUUCAAUUUUUGUUUGAAUUAGAGUAAAUUGAUUUUUUGAUUUGAUUAAUCCUGUCCAGGUUUGAAAUGGAUAGGGUUUGGCAAUGUUUAAGAAUCCAUGGCCAGGAUAGUGCCGAGAUUCAUGGGUGUUGUGUAAUCAGUUGAGCCCGUCAGAAUUUGUUGCAAGAGAUCGUCU
rnacentral:lncRNA from 1 species